GUGGGGAAUCUUGCGCAAUGGGCGAAAGCCUGACGCAGCCAUGCCGCGUGAAUGAUGAAGGUCUUAGGAUUGUAAAAUUCUUUCACCGGGGACGAUAAUGACGGUACCCUGAGAAGAAGCCCCGGCUAACUUCGUGCCAGCAGCCGCGGUAAUACGAAGGGGGCUAGCGUUGCUCGGAAUUACUGGGCGUAAAGGGCGCGUAGGCGGACAGUUUAGUCAGAGGUGAAAGCCCAGGGCUCAACCUUGGAAUUGCCUUUGAUACUGGCUGUCUUGAGUUUGGGAGAGGUGAGUGGAACUCCGAGUGUAGAGGUGAAAUUCGUAGAUAUUCGGAAGAACACCAGUGGCGAAGGCGACUCACUGGCCCAAUACUGACGCUGAGGCGCGAAAGCGUGGGGAGCAAACAGGAUUAGAUACCCGGGUAGUCC
rnacentral:rRNA from 1 species